AAGAAGCUGCUGGAAGAUAGACAACUCCUGGAGAAGUUAAAAGACGAACCAGCUGUCCACAGCAUGAUGCCACCCCAGCCAAAAAAAUCCAGGAAAACCUUCCCAAAAUGGACCCCGGUGAAUGCAUGCAGGAAAUACCACACUGACAGGACUUACUCUGGGAAGCCACUGCUGCAGGCAGCUGAGCCCAUCCUGCCCUGCGGUGCUGGCAGCCCCUCCAUCACCAAGGAGAGAUGUACCCUGGGGCCACCCCAUCCCACCAGCACCUUCACCCCCACAGCCACUUUUGUCAGCCUGGCUGUGCCGGGGACUUCCCAGGGUGAGGAGGACAGAGCUGGCACCACUACCAAAGAUUACGUUGCCCUGGCAAUGAAGAGGAAGUCAGAUGGCAUCUUGUCCCAAUGCCAGCAACACAUCUGUCUGAACAGCUGUGAAGAUGGACAGCUGGACACUUUGCAGGACACGGG
rnacentral:lncRNA from 1 species